rnacentral:rRNA from 1 species
AUACGGAGGGGGCAAGCGUUGCUCGGAAUCACUGGGCUUAAAGGGUGUGUAGGCGGCCCAUCAAGCAUUUUGUGAAAGCCCUCGGCCCAACCGAGGAACUGCAGGAUGAACUGAUGGACUUGAGUCGCGUAGGGGUCAGCGGAACUCUGGGUGGGGCGGUGAAAUGCGUAGAUAUCCAGGGGAAGGCCAGUGGCGAAGGCGGCUGGCUGGGCGCGUCCUGACGCUGAGGCACGAAAGCGUGGGGAGCAAACAGGAUUAGAAACCCCAGUAGUCC